GGGGGCAUAGAUCAGUGGUAGAUCGUCCGCUUCGCAUGCGGAAGGUCCCGGUUUCGACCGCCGGUGCUUCCA